CGGUCGCGGUGCGCCACGCCGGGGUGGCCAGCGGCGUCAACAACGCCGCCGCCCGCGCCGGGUCGCUGCUGGCCGUGGCCGU
rnacentral:tRNA from 1 species